rnacentral:lncRNA from 1 species
GAGUUUUUUUGUUUUUAGGAGGAAGACGAAGUGUGUGUUUAUAAUUUUUUAUAAAAAGGCUGUGACGGGAGUAAGUGACGUCAACUAUGACCAGAUGAUGGGACCCACUAAGUGGAUGACGUCAUGUAUGAUGAAAGCAGGACACAUCACACCAAGUUCACAUGGCGGCGGCUGGCACUUAUCCUAAUGACCCCACCAUGAUUUUUCCAAUCCCCACACACUUGUUUUAUUUGUUUACACUUUCUGACAAAUUCUCUAAAUACUCUUUUUCAUUCCGUUUUAUUUUACCGGAUUAAUGACAUUUUCACAUUCCGAUUUAGUAUAAUUUUUAACACGUUUUAUAGUAAAUACAUAGUAAAAUCACUUUUUUUAAAAGUCGGUAACGUGGAAAAUAAUAAAACAACUGGUAAAGAAAGAUAAAAUUUAUCAAAUUGAAUGAUGACGACCGUUAAGACGUUCAAAUAAAAUAAAAGUUAUGAUUAGUCUAAUGGCGGGUUUUGGGCUUAAACAUCUAACAUGACAAGAUAUUCGCGUGGCACACAUCUAUAAAAGUCCAAAAGAGACUCGUGACAUUGCUAGAAUUAAGAUUAAAGCAUCUUUGAUUUGAUGAUACUGUUAUUUUAUUUUGUUGAACGAAAUCUUUUGUGGGGUUAAGUAGGACUAGCUGACUAGAUGAGUAGAGGUUGAUUGCUACGAAAAAUUGUCUAUUUUGUUAGGUUGAUUGCUACAGCUUUUGAUAUCCAUAUUGUAUCUCUAGUUUUCUUCCAUUAAAAAGGAGGGAAAAUCCGAAUAUUUUUCGGGGAUUCUAAAAUAAAACAAAACAAUACAUAAUUAUGGGAGUUAUUAUGUCACGUUACUACCAAAAAAAAAAAAAAGAUGUGGUUUGACCAUUUUGUUAGUUGAAUCAAAUGAAGUGAUACAUCUUUCUUUCCUCUAACCACAUCUUAUCACAAAUUCACCAUUAUAUUUUAAUAUAUCUCAGGGCACACAUACAAUGUGUAAAAGUUACAAAACCAGAUAGACACAUAUUACAUACUACUACAGAUUUUGGAAAGUACAAAAUUGAUAUCAUGUUCUUAGGUGAAUUUUCUUGACGAAUUUUUGUAUCAUCCUGUGAAAGAAACCAGCUCUUUUGUUCUUGAUCGUCUCUUGACCCAAUUUAUGCUCACCAAUCUCAGUCCCUUGUGCAUCAUUAUCAAUACCGGUUCCCGGUGUUUUGCUCACCUUAAAUCACAUCAUAGAACCCAAAAUGCUGUGAGUACUGGCACAAAGUAGCUUGGUUAAUUAGCAGUUUAGAAUGGUUGGUCUUUAAGAAAAGGAGAUGAUAAAGCUCACCUCUUGAGCUAAUGACACUAACUUGAUUGAGUUAGGAGAUUCCUGCAAGUCAGUGAUUUGGUAUAGAGGAUUUGAGCUACCAAAACUAGGACAAGUGCUUAAAGUUUGAAUGGAAAUCUGUCGUAUUAAACAAAACUAUAGCUUUGUGAGAAAAAACUGAAAACAGAGGAGAUAGUAAAGGUAAAAUAGGAAAAUUUUGCUUACAGUUGUUGCAGAAAUCGGAUCAGAAUCACUACCAUCGGUGCUAUGAUCACUGAAGACACCGGUCAAUGGCUUUUGAGGUGUGUGGUUGUUGCGAUCAUCUUGCAUAGAAACAAUCUUACUCUGCUCAUCGUCAUCAUUAAAGAAGCCUUUGAAAUCAUCACUCAAAAUAUUGCAGAAGUCCCUAUCUAGUGCAUCCACAUCAAGAAAGCCAGAAAACUGACUUGGAUUCUGUGAUUCUUGGCUGUGAAACAACGAUCCCUGAAAAAAGGAACAACGUAACACAGAUGAAAAAACUAUGUGUACGAGAUAUGAUUUUGAAGAUUUAAAAGAGAAACAGGGAAAGUUUUUGAGAUUGACUCACCUCUGUCUCUACACUCAAAACUCCAGAAUUGUUGGUAGGAGGGAUUAAAGAGUGAGUAUGCUUAAUUCCACUACCAGUAGCAACUGAAAAUUCUCUCCUUUCACCCUUAAACUUAACUUUGCAGAGUGUGUAUGUCAUUAUCUACAGAUCAACUCAGCAUAAAUGAUUACCAUAAACUCAGAUUUUUCCCGUUUACGAGAAAUAAAAUCACGGUAAGAAAACAACAACAACAAGUUAAAGAAGCCUAAACAAGAGAAUCGAAAAAUGACCUGAUUAGGAGACGAGAACGUAGCGUGAUACUCAUGCAUAGCCCAAUCGGACUUGGAACCACCGUGAUUCUUAAACACCAAAACCCUUUUCUCACCGAUCUUCUCACGAUCUCCCGUUUUGCGCAUUAUAUCCAUGGUAACGCCAGUUUUCUUCCAAAAACCAGACUUGGUUUUUCUUAUCUGUCGAUCACCUUUACCAUAUUUGUUCUCCUUACGGCCGAAGAAAUACCAAACCUGAUCUCUUGUUUUCAUCCUAGAAUGGGCUGGGAAAGACAGAACAUGAUCAGAAAUUACCGGGAUGAUACAACAGUUGGGAACCAAAGAAAAACAAACACUCGCGUUAGAAAGACUUACAAGGUAAGUCCCAAGGGUCGAAGCUACAAAUAUCAACUGUGCUAAUGACUUCAUCGACAUGGCUCGUGUUACUUUCGAGAUUUUUCGGUCGGAGGUAAAUGUCGACGAUCUCCCCGUCAGUCGGACGGAAUCUAAAACCCACCGGAUUCGCCAUUUUUCAACAGCUACAAAAAGGUUCAGAUCAAAACUAAGAGAGGGAAAGAUAUCAAAAUAUGAAGUAGAGAGCUUUCUCUAUGGUCGCUCUUCGCCCGCUCGUCUACAAGUUUAUAUCAUAAGAGCAAGUCCAACAAAGGGAUUUAAAGCAUAUCUUAACUGUUGAGAACCAAAUUUAAAAAACUACCGCUGGUCAUGCUCUAAGCAGGCAAGAUGGGUUUGUGCGCUUAUAUAAGGCACAAUAAAGGAGAUCCUAAAAAAAAAAAAAAAAAAAAAAAUUGAGAUCCUUGGUAGAUUUCGUCAACUAUUUUACGGACAGGUUUUGGACCCCAUAAUGCAGAUGUUGGGUCACAUAAUUUCUUUCCUACCAGAUCAUCUUCUUGAUACCCUACCCACUUAAGUCAAAGUGCGCUUAGUCAUGUGAUGUGACAGUUACUCCUAACGUUAACGUCAAUGGUUAAUUUAUCUUGAAGCUUAUAUAAGAUCACAAAAAGUAAACCACAUUGAAAUUUGUAUAUAGGAAACUUCGUAGAAGUCGUAAAUAAAAAGAACCAGCCACAAAUAUAAGGAUUUGCCGAGUAUGGAACAUAGCAUACAAUACAAUGUGAAUAUUAAAUUACAAAAGACAAAAAAAAAGAGGGGCGCUUACAUAUACAUUCAUAAAUUCCUCAGCUCUACAUACACACAUCUGCGGAGUAGAAGAACCACUUCAACUUGAAAAAUGCUAUACCAUUUUCUUACUUAUAUAGGGUGUGACUGAUAAAAAAUGGACGAAAUGAGAUGAAAAAUAAACGAAGAAAAGUGAAGAAAAGAAAAAGCAAAAAGCAGAAGAAUUUUCUCUCUCAUGUAUUUGAAGUGGGAUGAAUUCUUCCUUUUCACGUUGCUUUUUGAAGAAUUGGGAAGAAACAAAACCAAUUACUUUUUAUUGCUUUUUGAAGAAUUGGGAAGAAACAAAACCAAUUACUUUUUAUCUGACUGGUUACAUUUAAGUACAACACAGAAGAAUUCUUUUUCUUCUCACUAUUUUUCUUCUAUAGAAGACUACCAGUCAGACCCAUAGUUGUGAUACUGUUUGUUUUUCAAUGAUGCAAAUAUGGAUAUUAUAACUAUUAUUAAAUUACAUAAGUGUGGAAAUAAAACCUAGCUAUAAACACUGGUUCUUGAAAAAAGAAAGCAUAUAUGCAGAGUGAGCUAUGAUUUACUUGAUAAGGAAGAGACCAAUCGCAGUGACGAUGAGUGUUGAAGGCAAACCGAAUUUGAAAUGUUUAGUGAAAGUGAGAGUGUAUCCAUGGCUCACUGCUCUACGAGCUUGCUCACACACUAUCAGGUUUGCUGCUGAACCAAGCAACGUCAAGUUUCCAGCCACUGUGCUCACCCACGCCAGCAACAACCACGCCUUCUUCUCCUCCUCCCUCCCCAUCGCUGAUGCCGCCACUCUUGCUCCCAACAAAAGCACUACAAACGAUUAAAAAAAAAAGAAAAAAUAAUCAUUCGCAUGGUCUUGUGGUUCCUUUUGAAUCAAGAAAUUGUUCGUGGAGCCAACCAUACAUGUUUGGCUUUAAAAAUAAUGACAUUACCGGUUGGUACAUUAGAGGCUACAUUGGAGAGGACAAGAAUCACAACUGCUAGAACCGCGAUUCCUUUGGCUUGAUCAAUUUUGGCAUAUGGCUCCAUUAGGUCCCAUAGAGCGGUAGGGAUACCAGUUUUGUUGAAUCCAUCAACGGUUAUGAACAUCCCGCAGAAAAAGAUCAAAAGCGAAUACGAUACCUGCAAAAGUUACAACUUUGAUAAGAUCUUUGAAUUGUAUCUCUAAAGAGUUUAAGAAAAUUUGGUUUUCACCUUCUCGAGAGACGGCCUUGCGUCUUUGAAAUCAAGAACCACGAGUGCUAGAGCCGCGGUAAUUGCGGUCCACGACAUGUUUAAACCCAUAAGCAGAGAUAUUAGCAUUCCUAAUGUGAUGAAAUAAACACUUGAUUUCCAUAAAACUCUUCUCCAUCUCUUGGUCUGGAACAUAUUGUUGGUAUUAUUGCUCUCUCCUUGAGACUCUGCGUCGUUGUGUUGUUCUCUCGACGCAUUUGAAUUGCAGCUUAUUAACUCGCUCUCACCCGCUGAACCCGCUCUGUUUCUGAGAGUCUCGGCGGCAUCCAUUCUCAAGUUCGAAUCUUCGGAUGAGACUGGCGAAAAUGUAGCUGGCGAGAACCUAUGAGAUUGGACAUCUUCUUGGGCAACAACUUCAGAAUCAGCAUUUUGUACUUCUUCUUCAUCCUCUUUAUGAUCUGACAAUAACCGCCAAUACAUACCGAGAAGAAGCAUAGCGUUAACGGUAAUACCAACAAUCAUCGCAGGAAAAACACCAAGAAGAAACUCCCAAAACGGGAUCUUGCUUUGAACCGCAAUAACAAGAUUCUGCGGAUUCCCAAUGGGAGUAGCAGAAGAACCAAUAUUCGCACUCGUGGCUAAAGCGAGCAAAAACGGGUGAGGCGGGAGAUUCUUUUGCCUAGCGAUCUUCAACACAAACUCGGUUAAAACCACACAAGAUGUAUCGUUAGUAAACAGAGCGCUUGAAACAGCGGAAACAAGACAGACUCUACAUAGCAAGUCUUUCGGACCUCUGCUUUUCCACGAAAGCAAUGUGCCUAAGUACUUGAACAUAUCAGCUCUCUCAAGGUAUAUACUAACAACCAUCGUUCCAAAGAGAAGACCGAGUAUCGGGAGAUCAAUGGCUGCAUAAGCUUGUUCCGGGGUUAUCACUUGGAAGAUAACCAUUAGCAUUGCACCGAACAGAGAACCGGCGGUUCGACCAAUUGGUAGGAAUGGUACAGAGGGAAACACUGCUAAUAUCCAGAAAAUGGCAAAGGCAACUGAACCUAAGACCAGCUUUAUUACUGGAGCCAUUGCCAUUUUCUUGCAAAUAUUUCUUGAAAGCUCUCUGAUCAAUGAUCGAAAAGCAUGGACUUUGUAAACCCUAGUUGGUGAUUUUGAUGAAUCAAAUAUCUGAUUAGAAACCCUAAGAUCUCUGAUAAACUUGAGGACGUUGACCGAUUCCCAAUAGAAGAAUCGUCCUGUUGAAAAAACAAGAAAAGGGCAAUCAGUUACGAAUUCAGAACGACAAGUAUUGGAUAAUCAAACAAACUUGACCAGUUUCAUGGUUAAACAUACAGUUUCUUAAGGAGGAAUCGAAGGCAAAUGAGUGACAAAAAUUGAAGCAACUACAUAGAUAACACUCAGAGUAAGCGAGGACUCAUCUUUAUUAUAUUGUCCCGAGUCCCCACGACGAACUUCACCAAACCAAAAAAGUCAGCCCUUUUCCAAUUUUCUUUAGUUUCCAAAAAGUGAAGACAAGAUACCGAGAAGAAGUCUCUCUGUUGUGUUCGCUGUUUCAGAUCUUUCUUCUUCCCCUUUUUCAAUUUUCAUGAAAUUAACAAUUUGACCUGCCACGUCCUUUAGAUUAAUUAAAGUGUUUUCUUUUACAUAACAGCCAAAAUUGAAGUGUUAUAACGAGUCAACAAAUCCUACACGAUACUGUAUUUUAAAAAUAAUUAAAAUUUAACUUCAUCUUAUUGGCUUAACAUUUUAAAUUUAUCACUUUUACUCCACUAAAAUUUGAUUCAUGAAAAUAAAUAAAAAAUCUUUAAACAGACAAAACUAUACAGCACACUCCAUAAGGUUCGUAAAGAUGUCUCAUUGCAAAUCUCAAUCUCAUUGCUUCUUUACAUUUACAAGAGCCGUAAUUAAACAAAAUUUAGCUACAAAGCAUUUUGACUGGAGAGAAUUGUACGGUGAGACAAGCAUGAUCGGAUAUAUUGUAAUUCUCCGGCCACAAUCCUUUCUCUGCUUCUUGUGGAAACAAAAUUGCUUUAUUCACUUUCAAUCCGAUUGCUUCAUCUUCUCCUUCUUCUUUCUUACUCUCCAUCACACUCUCUUUGCAGUUUCCAGGUUGAUUUACCAUCGUCAUGUUCCAAAUUUUCUGACAUUACAUAACACAACACAUCAGAGUCUUGAUUGACGUUUUAAACAAAGCUACCGGUUUGUGAUUUCUGUUAUGUACCAAUUGGUUUAGUUUUAUUUACCUUAAGUUCUUCAUAGUCGAAGACACCAUUUCCAUCAAGAUCAGCUCGGACCCAUAGCUCUUUUGUCUCUUCGAAGCUAAGUCCAUGUGGAAUACCCGUUAGAUUUACCUACCACACAAUAUCAAAUUUUGUUGUCAGCAUAAAAGUCCAUUCGUCUUUGAAAGAAUUUGUAAAAAUCUGGAAGAACUUAUUUGAUCCUUAUUCUACUGUUAUGAUAAGUGAAAUCUCUAGAUGAUCACAAAGUUUUUUCAGAAGUGUCAAAUUCCAAUUAGAAUGUGCAAAUCUAAGAUUUUUUUAUCAGCAUUUGUGGAAAAUUGAGGUCUACUUUUUCCUGAAGAGAAUGUAUUUACCUUUUGAAGUGCUAGGCAAAAGUCAGAGUAGGUUAGUGAAUCACUGUGAUUUUUUGCCCCAAGAAAAGUAAAGGCAUCGUCCUCGGCUAUGGAAGCUUUGUGUAGUUGAUACUGGAAGAAACCAUCAAGAGAAAUCAGAAAUAGACAAAAUGAACAUGAAAAUAUCGUUUAGGAAAAAGUAAAUUUGGAAAGAAUGAGACAAGACAUGGUAAGUAUGAUGUGACUUUAACAUUUUGUAAAGGUAUAGUGCUUAAUAUCUUAGUUUUCCGAAUAUCUCACCUUGAUAAUGCUGAAAACAGCUUCCACCCAACUUGUUCUCAAUGGUUUUCUUGAAUCACUAGGGUUACAGAGCCAUAUGAAAUCAACUCCGCAAAUAUUUCCCCUGUGGUUUCUGUGGCUAACCCACUGAAGAAAUAAAUGGAAGAAUGACGGAUAAGGAUGUGUCUUUUACAAUAUGAGGCGUUUUAAAUAACAGAAGGCUGGAGGAAGUUUUUUUGAAGAGAUGUUUACCCUAUGAGCAUCACUGUCGGUAUACUGAUGAGCAUCAUCGUAUGAUGAAAUAAACCCUUGAGAUCUCAAAAAUUUGUAGACAUGCCCGCGUUUGCUUCCAUUCCAGUCACUGCAAUAAGCAUAAUUCAAAAGUCUGUGAUUACAUUGAACUGGCGGAUGGACACAAUAUCAAGACUCAAAGACUAGAAGCUAACCCGCAGAGAAUAAUGGGCAUGUGAUUAAGUUUAUUUUCCUUUUGGUAAGCUUCCAGAUAUUCAAGAAUUUUGUAAACCUGUGAAAAGAAGCAAUCAAAUUAAACUAUCACAAGAUUCAAGGUGAACGGUCUCAAAAUGCAAAAUGAUGGAAAGGAUGACCAACCUGAUGCAGUCUUACAAUAGACAAACUAGAAUCGUGAGGAAACAAGAGGUGAGUGUUCACUAUAAUAACUUCUUGUUGAACGUCUUGCUUUCCAUUAAGCGGAAAGGGAAUAACUGUUUUGACAUGUAAGAGCUGAGCAACACGGUCUCCAAAAUCGUUAAAGAGCAGCUCCCGGUAAUUUACAACUUUAAAAUGGUCCUUAUGAAUGGCUGUUAAAAGACCUGUAAGAAAGAUAUUCAAGUCCACAAAUGAGACAUCAAAAGCGAAGAAGCCUAUCUUUCAUCGCAUGCGAUCAGCUAGAGGAGUCCAAACAUAUAGCAUUGACUUUGAAUUUUAGACAAUAUUUCUACUCCAUCCAUAAGAUUGCCUUUUAAUACGGCAUCCUACUAACAACGACGUUAAGAUCAUAUAAACACCAACAAGAACACUUUGACACCAGAAAGAUCCUGAACUACCAGUUUCCAAGUCAUGAAAAGGUAUAGAUUUGGACAACCCUACACUAUUUACUGAAGCAUAUCAAGCAGUAACAUUGAGCCUCUUAACUUUCUAAUGACUCUGGACAGAGACCAUAUUCAAUCAAAAACAUGAUAAAAAAUAAAGAAUCUUACCAUCACCACGACUGUUUGUUCUAGCCAACUGAUAAAUAGUGUAGCCUGAAGAUGAAAGCUGGUGGUGGUACAUGUUCACUAAUUCCUCAUUCCCAACCCAAACUUCCUACGAACAGUCACAAUUGCUAAGAGUCAGCUUAACAAAAAAAAAAAAAAGUCAAAAUUUGACUCUUUCUAAGAGACAAAGUGUGUACCUGGAGACAGAUAACUGAAGAGCGUUGAUGGAGUAACAAAUCUAAAAUCCUCUGGUUACGAGCUAACCAAAGCGUGCGGAAAUCGCUCUCUCGAGUGCUAUGAUUCUGUUAAUAACACCCAACACAAUCAACCAAUGUCGUCGAUUCCAGAAUCAACAAGGUAAAGAGUGAAGAAAUCAGAAGAAUAGAAGCAAACCUUUUGAUCAACGCGUUUAUAAAUCGGAGCCAAGAUAUUGAAAGUGGUACAAGAAAUAUUCGAUUCCACCAUUGAAGAAGCUAAGUUGGAGUUGAGUCUCUGCACAAACAAACAAACACAAUCGGCGAAUCAAAUCUCAGAACAAACAAAAAAAAGAAGGAAAGUGGAGGAAGAGCGACGACGAACCAUAACUGAAAGCGGCUUGUUGUUUCUGCCGGAGAGUAGACCGGAAAAGUAGAUCGGAAGAGGAACAGCAGCGAGGACGACGAAGAGGGAGAGUGGUGAAGAGAAGGAAGGGAUGAAUCUAGACCGUAGAAUCAAGCUCAGCCUGCUUCGAUUCUGAUGGCUUUGCAUUUGAGUUUUUCUUUCGAAUUCUCUCAACAGAUCUUUUUUCUCAUCUUAUAAUGAAUUUCUAUCGGAUUUAUUCUUUUUGGCAGUACUUGAUUAUUAUUAUUAUUAUUAUUUUAUUCAUAAGUUAAAAAAAAAUAUGAACCGUUGGUUUCGUAAAUAUCUAAUUUCAGUGAAAUAAAGACAAUGUAAUUUCUUCAUAAUUGCAAUGAAAUAAAGAAAAAUUAGUCUAUUGACCAAUGGUAGAUUUUGGUAUUUUUGUUUUGGCCAUUCAUGGAAGUUUACAACGAUCAUAACGUUUUAAAUCGUACUUGUAUUUUUUGUAGAUUUAUGAGAAAAGGUAAGUACAAUAAAGAGUAAUUGCAGGGAAGAAGAGGGAUAUUAAUGAUUGGAGAAGGAGAACCGCGUAUCAGGCUGGGCUAUGUCGGUUUCUCAUGACACGGUCUUGUUGUAUCACACCGAUUAUAUAUUAUCGUUUUACAGCAAUGUUUAUAUCAUGCCUACAAAAUAUAGGGAUUCAAAUUGCUUAACCACGUUGUAUUCUUCUUCUUCUUCUUGUCCAACUUUUUCUACGAAAUUAUAGCAAAUCAAAUUCAUGCUAUUUAUUGAACGCAAAUGUUUAAUUUUCAGACAAAUCAGAUUCUUACUUUUGCUGUUCAAACCCCAAAAUUCAAUGAAGAAAUUUUAUAAUAUUCAUCAGAUACUGAGCGGAUUUUAAGCAAAAAACCAAGAGAAGUGAUAGAUACUGAGCGAGUUUGAUAUGAAGAUUAUCUUGGCCGGAGGUUGAUUAUCGUCUUUCCAACGAAGCAACUGCAACACCAUUAUAUGGAUAUUUGGUGUCUCGUCAUCAGAGUCGUGCCAAUGAAUUUUGAUGCUAUAAACAAAAAAAUAUAGUUUAAUAUUUUAAUAAAUAAUGUAAACAUAACAAAAAAAUUAUUUAUUAAAAUAUACACAUAACAAAGAAGACGGAAAGCUCCUCUCUCACAAGCCAGGCUAUCUCGCCACCUGCUAUACCUUUGAAUAUUUCAAAGGUCUUUUUUGAGAAGUAUUUCAAAGGUCCGUCUUCUUGACACUACCGGCGACAAGAGACAUUUUUACAACGAAAGAGUUCGAUAAUAGAAAGGUUAGUAAAAAAAUAAAAAUAUUCUUUGUCGUAAUUAUUUCAAAGGUCAUUUUUGAGAAGUCAAUAAAACUAUGUUUUGUUUUGUUAACAACAUGCAUUAUACCGUUUGAUUGAUAACAUAAUAACGACACUAGCACAUUUUACUAGUUUACACAUUAUAAUCAACCUAAUCGUUUUUGGUCAUAUUUUUGUUCUAAAUUAUUUAUGUUUUGCUUAAAAUUUGCUUAAUUUAUUAUUAAACUUUAAAUAUUAAUUAUUUUUUUUGUUAUGUUUAUAAUAUUUAUUAAAAUAUUAAAUCAUAUUUUCGCGUAUGGUAUCAAAUUUUUUUGGCACGUUCUGUUUGGAUGUUAUGUCACAAAAAUUAAAAAUUUAGUACUUACAAAAAAAACAAAACAUGGUUGAAAAAAUCUUUCAAUCAAUUACUAAAAAAAAAAGUAAAUGAAGAAAGCAAUACCUCAUGCAGCAGCUUGUGAUAUGAUCCAAAAACAAAUCGGGACAGCUAAAGGUCUUGGCUGGUACAAGCAAAAACUCGGUCUCCUUGAGCCCAUCCAGCUUCUUUCAGGUACUACAACAUAUUAAAAAGAUUGCACAUGUCAAAAUGACUAUUACCAUAUCCAAAUUUCGAUUGUUUCCUACUUUCCUUUUAUCUUCAACAGUUGUUUCCUUUUUCUUAUUUGAGAACGUUCGAGAAAUCUGGACCGUCUAUUUUCAUCAUAUUGCAACUGUGAGAUCUGAUGGUGAUUAUCUAAUCUAAACGGUAAGUUUGUUAGAUUAUGUGGGACCGGGACGAUCUAUUUCUUAAACCUCUGUUACAAACAAACACUCAUGUCUAUUAGUAUUAGGAAAUAAGAGAUGGAUAUGAUGAUGAUUCCGAACCAAUUCUCAAUAAACUGUUUAUAAUGGAACAGAAGCAGCAGUGAUUGAUGAUCUAACAGACAUUGACAUCAGGCUACCAAUGCUAGUCUUCCUGUGGGAGAUAGAAGCGGCCUUGGUUAUGCCGAGUUUUCUGUUGAUCUGUGUUUAUGUAAUCACCCGAGGAUGCAAACAAUUAAUCCCAUCAGCUAAAAGACUUGUUUGAUUCAAAACAGACUUUAGCAGAUCAUUUGUUUUUCUUAUCUACAGAACAUAAUAUAUUCUUUUUUUGGUGAUAUUAUGAUUGGGAAACAUCCAUUUCAUUUAACCAGAAAGCAUGGCAAUCUUUUCUUUGAACAAAUCUCCAUAAAUUACAGACAAAGAUAAAGCCGGAAACAAGAAAAUGUUGCAGAUAAAAUCUAACAAAAGAAAGAACAAUCGAAAAACUCUUCUUCUCCUUGUAAUUUGCUCACAACAAAACCUCUUCUUCAGAGCCUCUUAAAGUGGCUUUCCACUUGUCUUGAUAUCAUUUCUGAUUGCUCCUUGAAUCAUCUUAACGAUCAAAUACUGCAAAGUAGAAGAAAGGAUUUCACUUGUUUACCAAAUUCGAACAAGACAAUAAAUCAAACUGUGUCUCUUUCUUACCUGAGCGCCUAUGAUAAGAGGGAUGAGUUUCUUUCCUUUAUCAUCAGAGUAAGAUCCAUCUACCAUCUUCUUGUCUACAUGAAUUGCUUUCCUCUGGUUUGUUGCUACAUCAGUUAUCGCCUUAACCAAGUUCGGGAUCCACGCUUCACCAUUUGGAAGAGCCUGAACCGAGAGCAGGUAAGCAACUUUUAACAGUCAGUCUCUCUCCAAGUCGGAUCAAAUCAGAGAUUCGAAAACACAAACCUUUUCGUCCUUAUCGUUCUUGCUGCAUCUUCCGCUGUUCUCUGCAUAGACUACCGCGAUUGCAGAAUCCUACAAGCCAGUAAAGAAUGAAACUGAUUCUUGCUACAAUGAACCAAACAUACAUUGGUAUAACAAUUUUCGGAGACAGGUAUAUGUAUAAAUAACCAUACCUCAAACUCUUGUUUUCGCAUCUUAGAACCAGCCCGGAUAGUUUUGAGGAGAGAAUCUGAUCUCUUGGAGGAAAAAGUUUCGUAGGAAAGUUCAUCGGGAGGGGAAAAUUGAGCAUGAGUCAGAACAAGCAAGGUUUUGCACCAUAUCUCUUUUCCAAAGGUUUGGGUGAUUGCUAUAACAACUUGCUUAUCUAGCUCAUCGACUCUAUACACAUCCAAACGAUCAACAUAGAGCAAGACAUCUAUUGUUCUGUUCACAAGAAACCUGUCCAAAAUCCGAGAAACACAACAACUAUCGUAAAACUUCCACACACACUCCAAUAUACAGCUUCAGCGUAAACCAGAUACUCAUAAUUCACAAUUUCAACAGAAACCCACAAGUAAACAUGUUAACCACAUAUAUACUUAGCUUAAUUAAUUCAAAAACGAAUGAGAUAAUCCUAUAUGCAACAAUCAACGAAGAGAUAUUCCAAAAGAGUAGCUACUGACCCUUUGAUUAACUCGAGAGCUUGGUGAUUGACAUAUCCAGCUUCCACAAGUCCAGGGGUGUCAAUAAUGUUGAUAGUGAACCCUCCCAUUGUUCUUGAAACCAUCACUGGUCUCAAUCCUUCAGCCUACAAAAUCAACAAAACAGAGCCAUCAAAUAUCUUGAAAUGACUACUCUUUCUUAAUCCAAAUUAAAAAAAUCAAGCUUAGGGAAACUGAAUUACGUACUUGGAAAGGACUGACACGGACGACUUGUUCGCCGAUAAGAGAAUUGACAGUGGAUGAUUUUCCGACACCGCCUUUACCCAGAACAAGAACUGUCAUUGAGUUCAUAUCCUGCAAUUACAAAAACCUCCCAUCAUUAUCUCCUAAUCACAACGGAGAAUCCGAGAAACCGACUUAAGCACCAAAGAAACAGGAACAACAACAACAAAACACACCUUUUGCUUCAAUUUUCCGAAGAAUUCAAUCAGCUUUUCCUGGGUAGCUGCUGGAAAUUGCUGAAACCCAACCCAUUCACGAACGAGAGACCCCAUCACUCCUAAACCCUUCAGCAAAAAAAUUCUUUUGGUAAAUAAUCGCUGAGUGAUGACGAUGAUGAUAAUUAAUUUCGAAAGCGAUAACGUUUUGGGAGAUUUGGAGGAGCUUACCGUUGUGUGAGGAGCGUUUGAGGUUUUUGGAAGAAGCUCUCUCGAUGUGUUCCGCAGAGAAAAGCUAAAGAAUGUGACCUUAUCGGUAAUUUGUUUAAUAGUUCAAAUUAUUUUCACUUUUACUCCUCUAUUUCUUUAGUGUUUCUUUUUAGUGCCUUCAAAUUUUGAAAACUAACAAACUCAACCCCAAACCAAAUCCAGUUACCAAGUUGCAGCAUUACACUUCAUAUUUUCAUGGAAGACUACAUUAGGUGGAACAUUGAAUUAGCAUAGCGUCACGGGAGCUCAAGCGAUUCUCUGAACCUUUCUUCGCUUGUAAGUCAAGGAAAACAAAUGGUCACUAUUGGCUUCUCGAGCAUGAUUGUCUUCGCUCAGGACCCCCAGCGGUUUUCUCAGAGCCUUGGCUUCCCUCUGAAAGUUAUUACUAGACGAAAUCCUCUUGCUCUCUGUUGUUUCAGAGCCUCUGUCAACAGUCCUAGGCUUAAAACCAGGAGACUUCAGGUGGUACCGGACAUAUUCUUCUUGCUUUAGAGGUAUAUUCUGUUCUGUGAUGGAGUAAUUUGAAACACGGAGAGCACUGGGAACAGUGUGUGUUGGAUCAUGAAACACCGGUUCUGUACCUUGGAUUGAUCUUUGUGUAGUUUCCAAAUAGGUUAAGAAAGGGUCUGGGAUAGAACAGCCAAGAGUUCCGUAGGGUGGUUUCUCAAAUGUCGUACCUAAGUAUGGAGACGCUGCAAAUCUAGUACUCUUUGAACCGGUUUCAUGGAUUUGCAGGAGAUUGUUUCCUGGAGCUACAUAGGGUUUCCUGAGGAUGGCAGAAGAAGAUUUAGGGACUAAUUUGAGAACACCCUUUGGCAAAGUCUGAUGAUGAUGGCCAGCAGAAACUAAGCUGGAACCUUGAUACCGGAAUACUCCUUCCUUGGUUAUCUUUAUCUUGAGACUGUUCUUGGAGCUGCCACUGCGAGGGAAGGUUAAACUUUUCGAUCUAUUUCUUUCCACGGGUUUCACUACAUUGGGAGUUUUGAAUCUACAUGUAGCACUAUCCAUUUCCUUAGAUGGAACUCUAUUGAGGUCCAGUAGCUUGAGAUUACCGGUUUGAGUUCGUCCUGACCAAAUGAGGAGCCUUGAGUAAUUGCCCAAUUUAUUUCCAUACUGAACCCACACCCUUUGCAUUUCGGUAAAUGUCCUGAUCAGCUUUUCAUGAUAGAACUUUAAAGAGUAGUAAUACUUUCUCCUCUUGACAAACAUAACACCUUCUUUGAAACAAGCUACCUUUGGAGUAAACAAUCCACCUAGCAAAUUCUUGUAAAACUUAUCCUCUGGAUUCCCAAAAUAUAAAUUGGCACCAUCAAGAAGUUCCUGCAUCGUCAAACUGAAAGUCUGUGGAUCCAUAUCUGGCAGAAAACAUGAGAGGAAGAAUCUUUCUUCUUCAGUCAGAAGUGAGUUCCAAGUCUCAACAGACAAUAUUCCCGUUAAAUCUGGUAGAUCGUAGAGCUCGUAUGGUAUGUUACAGAGCUGACCUUCAACCAAAGCUAGCUCACAGUUUACUUGCGCAAUGUCGUAAUCAUCAGAGUCAUCAUCUUCAGAGUCUAGCCCAACUGUUUGAUUCUUAUUCAUCUGUAGUUAACCACUUACUACCCUUAAAACACAAGUACUUCAAAUCUCCAACCACAAACUCAGUAGAAAGGAACACAAGCAGGAGAUACCUAGAUAGAAAAUGUUAAAGACUCAUCAUCAGCAAUUCACAUUACAAGAAUUCUACUACAAUACAAUGGACAGCGAGAAGCUGAGUAUGUUACUAAUCAGAAAUCAAACGAACAUAAAUAGCAUUUUACUCACUGAUUUCAGCAACAACAACACUAAAGGCUAUAUAAAACACGAAAUAUACAUUGUGAGAUCAAUGAAGCACUCAAAAAGAAGAAGAUACACAACACCAGAAAAUCUCCCAGAUCGGAUCAGCUACAAAGCUUAAACGUAAUCGAUCGCGAACUCAAUCAAUAACCAAAAUCAAAAGCUCCAACAAGGCAAAUAACUAGAGAGCGAAAACCCUUGGAUUUGACAACAAAAAUGUGCAGACAAUUUGAAUAAAAAACAAGUAUCAUACAAAUCUCAGCACAAAUCAGCUCCAAUGAGUUUCAAAAACCUACCGGAACUAAUAAAAAAAAAGAAUCUCGAGAUAUUCAGAGAAAUCGAUCGGAAAGCGUAAAAGACGAGGAGCUUACCGGCUCUAAAGACAGGUGAAAUUAGCAGAUUAGGGUCGAAGAAACCAUAUCCCUUUGGCUACAGAUACGAACUUCAUCGCCUUCAAAGAUUCUCUGCUUCCUUUCUAGAGAUUUCUAUGGCUUUUCGAUCGAUGCGACAGUAGAGUAGAGACUAGAGAGACUAAUUACUGUUACACUUGUAUUUUGAUUUCUUUAAUUAAAGCCGCCUAAAGUAACUAAUGCCUUGAUUACUUUAAUUAAUAAUCAUUUUUAAAUUGUGAUUUAUAAUCAAGUUAGACAUUACUUCACAAAUAGUUUGGGCCUGGAAACGUAUAGGCCCAUGUAAACUUUAAUAAAAGAAUCACCUUGCAGGUAAGUAUAAUAUCCUGAUAUUAUUAUUUACUUGAUAGAAUGGGCCUAUAAUAAAAGAAAUCACCAUUAAAGAAUUAUAGGCCCAUGAUAUCAAGUAAAUAUCAAGAAAUGAUGAUUAAUGAUCAAGUUAGACAUCAUUACUUGAUAUUUUGGUAAGUAGGAUCAAUCAACGGUCAGGAUCCUUUUAGUAAAAUCAUGUGUCAUUUUCAGUUUGUCUAAAAGAUAAGCCUUUCACUUUCUCUCUCUGUCUUAUUAGAAAAGAAAAUUUGUACCGUUUCCAAAGUCUGAGCCAAUCAUUGUGUUGAUUCUGGAAUUCUUUGUGGGAACGAGAAAUUUGUACAAGGGAGAUUCAUCAUGGCUGAUAGUUGUUGUAUCAGACUUCACUUAUUAGCCUCUGUUUUCUUGCUCUUAUUUUCAUCCUUCAACUUGCAGGUACUUUAAACUUUCGUAAUCUGUGUGUUAAAAUUGCUUACUAAGAUCGAUUUGUUGGACUCUUGAGCUACAAGUUAAAAAAAAACAAAAUAAAUCAAACUUUGUGAUUUUUUUCUCUGCGUAUCAAUCUAAGACAUAUGAAGGGGAAAUGUAUAUAUGGUUUUUUGUAAUUGUUUCUAUAUCAGUAAAGUUUUAAACUUUUGAAGCUGGUUUAUCUCUUAAUCUCAGGGUAUUGCAGCGGAAAAUCUUUCCAAGCAGAAACUGACCUCACUGAUUCUUCAGGUUUUGAUCUUAAUCCACACAAUUAUCUGUAUUGUUUUCGUCUCUUUUAGAUUGCCUAAACGUUGAUGAUCAACUUUUGCAGAAUGAGAUUGUAAAGGAAGUCAAUGAGAAUCCAAACGCUGGUUGGAAAGCUGCUUUCAAUGAUCGGUUUGCAAAUGCCACCGUGAGUUUAUUAUCACCUCCAUGCUCUUAUCUCUUUAAGAGCUACGUUACUUAUCAUUGUUCCUGAAAGUUUGUGUUUUUGUGUAUGUAUGUGCAGGUUGCAGAGUUUAAGCGACUCCUCGGUGUUAUACAAACACCAAAGACGGCAUACUUAGGUGUACCUAUUGUAAGACAUGAUUUAUCGUUGAAGCUUCCUAAAGAAUUUGAUGCUAGAACCGCUUGGUCACAUUGCACCAGUAUUCGAAGGAUCUUAGGUCGGUUUUAAUCUCUUAGCUUCCACUAUCUCUGUCAUUAACCCAAUGAUUUACUGACUCUUCUUAUGUUUUGUUUCAAAUUAUCUCCCUCUUUAUUGCACUAAAGAUCAGGUGAAACAUCAUUUCAUUUGAGUGGGUUAUAUAUUGAACAAUGUGUUACUCUGGUCGACGAUAACUUUAUGGUUUUGGUUUCUUUUGGGUCAUUGUGGUUCUUGCUGGGCAUUUGGUGCUGUUGAAUCACUGUCCGACAGGUUCUGCAUCAAAUAUAACUUGGUAACACAACUUUCUCCAUCAAGCCAAGAUUGACGAUUGCUACAGCUUUUUAAUGUAAUUGCUCUUCUUCCCUUGCAGAAUGUUUCCUUAUCUGCCAAUGAUGUCAUAGCAUGUUGUGGAUUACUUUGCGGUUUUGGUUGUAAUGGUGGUUUCCCAAUGGGUGCAUGGUUGUACUUUAAGUACCACGGUGUAGUAACCCAAGAGGUAAAUUCUCAGCAAAGAACAAAUAAUAAUGGCAAUGUGGUCAAAGUGUAUUGAACUUUUGUAAUGCUGUUGGUUCUUCAGUGUGAUCCAUACUUUGACAAUACUGGUUGCUCUCACCCGGGAUGUGAACCCACUUACCCUACACCAAAAUGUGAGAGGAAAUGUGUAAGCAGAAACCAGCUAUGGGGUGAAUCAAAACACUAUGGUGUCGGCGCAUACAGAAUCAAUCCUGACCCUCAAGACAUUAUGGCUGAGGUUUACAAGAAUGGACCUGUCGAGGUUGCUUUUACCGUUUACGAGGUAAUGAAAAAGAUUUUUGAUUGAUCAAACCAUAUUGAUUAUAUCUUGGUGAAGUCCACAUUUUCAUGUAUCUUUUUGUUCUUCAGGACUUUGCACAUUACAAAUCAGGAGUAUACAAGUACAUAACGGGUACUAAGAUUGGAGGUCAUGCAGUUAAGCUCAUUGGCUGGGGAACUUCUGAUGACGGCGAAGAUUAUUGGGUAUGAAUUCUCUGGAUUUUGAUUCAGAUCAAGCUGAAAAAGUAAUAACAUUUUCUUGUUCGUUGUUGCAGUUGCUUGCAAAUCAAUGGAACCGAAGCUGGGGUGAUGUAAGUUCUUCUUUUCUCCAAUCAAAACUUUUAAAUUAGACCUUCCAAGUAAACAAAAGCACAGAACCUGAGAUAGAAAAUGUGAAAAUCUCAGGAUGGUUACUUCAAGAUCAGGAGAGGAACGAACGAAUGUGGCAUUGAACAGAGUGUUGUAGCUGGUUUACCUUCAGAGAAGAACGUAUUUAAAGGUAUUACCACUUCAGAUGAUCUUCUGGUUUCCUCAGUCUAAACAAGACGAUGUGUCCCUACUUCUGUAAUAUAUCAUUUGCAACUGUGUUGUAAGUUUAAUAUACCAUUGAAAGAAUCACCUUCAAUCAAAACAAAAGUAUGUAUAGCUUCUGUUAAUAUUCAAUUUUACAUGUUACCAUGCAAGAGGACUGUUACAGUGUUUAUUUGGUUUUGGUAAAUUAUAGCCACCUAAAAGUAACGCCUUAAUUAAUCAUUUUAAAUUAUGAUUAACAAUCAAGUAAGUGGAACAAAUCAACGGUCAGGAUCUUAUCCUCGCAGUAAUAUGAUCUGUCAUUCUCUAACUAAAAAGAUAAGCCUCUCUCUGUCUCUUCCUAGAAAAGAAAACUUUGUACCUUUUCCAAAGUCUAAGCAAAUCAUUGUUUUUGAUUACUGGAACUCGUUGAGGGAUUGAGAAAAAAAUAAUCAGAAGAGAAAGAUCCAUGGCUGAUAAUUGUAUCAGACUUCUUCACUCAGCCUCUGUUUUCUUCUGUUUAGGGCUUCUAAUUUCAUCCUUCAACUUGUUGCAGGUACUUGAACCUUCAUAAUCUGUGUUUGAAAUUGCUUACGAAUAUUUAUGCAUGUUAGUGCUUUCUUCUAGUUACGAUCUGUUUCGUAGCCUUCUCGGGUUUUUCUGGGUUUGAUCAUGUUUGCUUAUUUGUUGGACUCUUGAAGCUAGAAGUUUUAAAAAAAAAAAUCGAAAUUUUCUGGGUCUUAAUCGAAUCAAUGAACGGGAAACAUAUUUGUGAUAUCAGAAUUGUUUAAAGUUUUAAACUUUUGAAGCUGGGUUGUCUCUUAAUCUCAGGGUAUUGCAGCUGAAAAUCUUUCCAAGCAGAAACUGACCUCAUGGAUUCUUCAGGUUUUGAUCUUAAUCCACCCAAUUUUCUGUUUUGUUUUCGUCUCUUUUAGAUUGCCUAAGCGUUGAUGAUCAACUUUUGCAGAAUGAGAUUGUAAAGGAAGUCAAUGAGAAUCCAAACGCUGGAUGGAAAGCUUCUUUCAAUGAUCGGUUUGCAAACGCCACUGUGAGUUUCUGAUUACCUCCACCAUUCCUUACAUAUAUCCUAUCAAUGCUUAUCACUGUUCCUGAAAACUUGUGUUUUUGUGAAUCUAUGUGUAGGUUGCAGAGUUUAAGCGCCUUCUUGGUGUUAAACCAACACCAAAGACGGAAUUUUUGGGUGUGCCUAUUGUAAGCCAUGAUAUAUCUUUGAAGCUUCCAAAAGAAUUUGAUGCUAGAACCGCUUGGUCACAGUGCACCAGUAUUGGAAGGAUCUUAGGUCGGUUUUAAUCUUUUAGAUUUCCACUAUCUCUGUUUUUUUCUAUCCAAUGAUUUACUGACUCUUCUUAUGUUUUGUGUUAAAUCCUCUCCAUAAUCGUCUCACUAAAGAUCAGGUAACAGAUCAUUUACUUGAGUUUUAUAUUGCAUAAUGGGUUCUCAGACAGAUAUAAACAUUUUGGUUUUGGUUUGUUUAGGGUCACUGUGGUUCUUGCUGGGCCUUUGGUGCUGUUGAAUCACUGUCUGACAGAUUCUGCAUCAAAUAUAACAUGGUAACAUAGAUUUCUUACUGUAGCCAAGAUUGAUGAUGGCUAGUGUUUUUCUCUUCGAAUGAUUAAUAUUCGUUUCUUUUGUUCGUAUGCAGAAUGUUUCUUUAUCUGUCAAUGAUCUUUUAGCAUGUUGUGGAUUCCUUUGCGGUCAAGGUUGUAAUGGUGGAUACCCAAUUGCUGCGUGGCGGUACUUUAAGCACCACGGUGUAGUCACUGAAGAGGUAAAUUCACUUUUUAACUGCAAAGAACAUCUAUUAAUGGCAAAGUAGUUAUAAAACGUAUUCUUGAUUCUACAGUGUGAUCCAUACUUCGACAAUACUGGUUGCUCGCACCCGGGAUGUGAACCCGCUUACCCUACACCAAAAUGUGCAAGGAAAUGUGUUAGCGGAAACCAGCUUUGGCGUGAAUCAAAACAUUAUGGUGUUAGUGCGUACAAGGUCAGAUCUCACCCUGAUGACAUUAUGGCAGAAGUUUACAAAAAUGGACCUGUUGAGGUUGCCUUCACUGUUUACGAGGUAAAUACUAGGUUCUAGAGUGAUCAAAGAUAUGAUUAUAUUAUGGAACUCCACAUGUUCAUGUAUCUUUCUGUUCUUCUACAGGACUUUGCGCAUUACAAAUCUGGAGUGUACAAGCACAUAACAGGUACUAACAUUGGAGGUCAUGCUGUUAAACUUAUUGGCUGGGGAACUUCUGAUGACGGUGAAGAUUAUUGGGUAUGACUCCACUUUUGACGCUCUGGAUUUUGAGUUUCGAUCUAGCCAAAAAAUUCACAACAUUUUCUAUUCUUUUGAAUUGUUGCAGUUGCUUGCAAAUCAAUGGAACCGAAGCUGGGGUGAUGUAAGUUCUUCUUCUCUCCAAUCAAACUUUUACUUUCGACCUUCCAAAGAAACCACAGAACCUUAGAUAUAGAAUCUGAAAAUUUCAGGAUGGGUACUUCAAGAUCAGGAGAGGAACAAACGAAUGUGGCAUUGAACAUGGUGUUGUAGCUGGUUUACCUUCAGACAGGAACGUAGUUAAAGGUAUUACUACUUCAGAUGAUCUUCUUGUUUCCUCAUUUUAAACAGGAAUAUGUGUCUCUACUCUGUAAUACAUAAUUUCCCACUGUGUUGUUGUUACCAAUGAAAUAAAACGACUUUCAACCCAAAAAGAAGUCUAUUGUAUAUACCAUUUAGCUUUUUGUUCAUAUUCAAUAUAAUGUGUUGUUGUUUCCAAUGAAAGAAUCAAAAGACAUUCAACUAUUCUACAUAUCAUUUAGCUUUUGUUCAUAUUCAACUAUACAUGUUUCCUAUUUUUACAUUCUAAUAUCUACUGUUUGUAUCUAUACUGUUUCAUUCUGCACUAUGUGUGACCAACGGUGGAUACUUGAGGUUUUUCAGUUUACUAGAUUGGUCGGCGAUAAGCUGAGCAGUAGUAUUAGGACCUGCUUGCAUAAAGACCUCGUACCCAUCACCUAACAGACCAGUUCUAUUGGUCGUAAGCUGCCAGAAAACACCACCAGUACACGAACCACCAGCCCUUGCACUGUCGUAGAUAACAUCGUAAACUCUUUGGAAAAACUUGUUCCGUUUCUCUAAGCUAAAACCAGGGUACUUUGAAGAUUUCCCAAACUCUGUUAUCAGCAAAGGCUUCUUGAUGAUAUUGUCACAGUCUUCAAUAUGUGCUCCGAUCCAUCUGUCCACAAAUGUAUCUUGUUCUCCUGUUCUUGAGCUCUGUAAUGGUAGCCUGAUCUUGAUUUGGUACACAGAGAGAAUGUGUUAAAAGACAACAAACCAGAAAACCCAAUUUUGAUUCAUUGAAUAGAGAGACUGAUGACUUACCAAGAAUCCGGGUAGAUAUGGAUAGUGGCGAAAUCGAUAUCCGGAAUUUGGUUAUUGGUGAUGAAAUCUGUACCGGUUAAGACCCUUCCGCCGGGAUUGUAAACCGUUCUUUCCGGUAUAGAUUCUCCGUAGAACCCUUCAAGCCCUAUUUCCAGCAAAUGGUUUGAGUCUAUGGACUUAACAUAACUAGCCAUUUCCUUCACCCAAUCCUGCACACAAAAUGACACCGUUUAAGUAUGUAUACGUGUGCAUGUUGUAUAGUAUAAAUACAGAGGAGAGACAUAGAUACCUGAAGAAUAUUCGAAGCAGUGGAAUCAUUGCAGCGAGGUUCGUUGAUGAGUUCCCAUGAGAAGAUGGUAGGGUCAUCUUUGUACAUUCGACCAGUGAUUGUGUUUUUCCUCGUCAACACGGUCUGUUUCAUGGUUUUGUCAAACCGUCGGUUUAGUUUGAUUUUUAAGUCGGUACUAGUAUACAAAAUUCUAUAUAUGAUCUAAUCCUUUUACGAGAUAUUUAAUUUGGGACAUUUGUUCAAUAAUAAGUUAACAAACAUUUUUAGAUUGGUACAUUUGUCAUGUUUGUUGAUUACUUUUAAUUGAUCAAAACCUAACUUUUGACAUUUCAAAACCGUCGUUUAUCUCGCGUUAACGUGUACAAAUAUAACCUGAAUAUUUUGCCUUUAACGUGUCGUGUUACAUAUGAUGAUCUCUAGAUAUUAAAUUUAACUGAUAUUUAUGUAAUUAACAUGGGUUUAAUUUUCAUAUUAUUACUAACCUUCACGUGAUUCUUGUAGAAUUGCUUGACAGCUGAGUUUGUGUAGAAUUCAUCCGGUUCAUCUAAACCGGCCCAUUCCACGUACUUUUUUCUCCCUCCAUAGUCUUCGAAAUUAUUGACUAAACUAAUUAUCAAUUUAAUAUUAAAUCGUCCAGCUUCAUAGACGACAAAGUCUAGCCCCUGCUGUCACAAAACUUUGUAUCAGUAUUAGUACUCAUAAAACCCAAUUACAAUUUGUUGUUAGUUUUUCUAUCAAUCAAUUGUGAGAGUCUCUUUAUUAGGUCAACAAAAAUUAAAGGUGUCUAGUACCAAAUUAUGCUUCUAAUUAAUAUAAAUAUGAUUAACAAUGUGAAAGUCUAUCUAUGCUUUUGUCAUUUUUUGCGAUUAUCCACUUUAUAUUAGCGUAUGAAAAGGAGUAGACGACGAUUUUUUUACGAGAAAAAAAACAAAAAGGUUUGAAGGUCUUAUGUCGGAAGUAUAAUUUGAAAUUUGAAUCCUUCAAUUUAGAUUCAACAAACAACGGUCAUCCAAAGAUUAAUAUACAUAUGAUCAUGACAAUAAAAAAUAACAGUCAAUAUUUUUCUUUAUAAUUCCGUUUACUAGUGAAUCAAUACAAAAUAAUUAAGUAAAUAAACAAUGAUAAUUUUAUCAACUCAGUCAGCAAACGAUCAAUUCAUGAUUAAAAAUAUUAAGUUUGUUGUAUAAUUGAUAAAAACAUACGAAAUGGUGAUUUCAGCAUGUUUUGCAACGAGCCACCAAAGUUCUCAAAAUAUAAAAUAUUAAGUAUAUAUGUGUAUGUAUGUAUAUGCAUGCGUGUUACCUUGAAAACGUCUUCACUAUAGGAGCCAGGAGAGAUCUGAAGAGGAAUGUAAUCUCCUUCGUUGAAACCCCAAAUCCUAGCGACGUUCAUUCCCACCGCGGAGGCUUGCCGGAGCGCCGUCGUGACGGUAGCUCUUCCUUUAGAUGCCGUGUCAGCCGCGGUGGUCAUCAUCCAAUAAGCAUUGAAGCCGUUUAAGUAAACUUGUUCUCCGUUCAACACGAACUGCGUGCCGUUUCUCCCGACAAAGCCUGUCUUUACGGCGACGCAAAUGCGGUUGUUUCCGAUGAGAAACGGAAGAAAGAACAAGAAAAACGGUAAGAUGUUUAACAUUGUGAUACUUUUGCCGACUUGAAGAAAAGAGAAUGACACAACAUGAAACGUUAAGGACAUUUGUGUGUGUGGUGUUAUAUAUACAUUACAGAUGUCUUAGAGCCUACGUAUUUGAAAACUAUUCAUUUUUGUCACCAUAUUGCCUACGUUUAAUUGAAAAUAUGUACACGGAACGCGUGAAAUUUAGAUAAAGUUUUUUUUAACGUUUAUCUCAAAUUCACUUUUGAAAUUAUAUUCUUGGGUUUAAGAAAACUCUUUACUUUUUAAACUGAUACAUAUUAUUUAAAGGAAAUAGAUAUUUUAUAAUUUGGCUUAAAAGCGUUUAUUUUUUGGCUAAUUGGCUUGAAAGCGUAAUAUUUUUCAUUUCCCCAUUAAAACGGUUUCAGACUGUUAGAUUUAAAUAAAUUGUAAUCUUGUUGCAUUAAAGGUUUUAAAUAAAUGAUUUUGGCGAAUAUAAUAUUUUCUAGUAAGUCAUUGUAAAGUUAAAAAUAGAUAAUUUUGGUUUUAUAACAUAUUGAUGAUACGUAAUCGAAAUAAUAUGAUUUUUGGUUGAAUAAAAUGAUACCAAAUGAUCACAAUAAUUAUAUAUGCUUUUGAAUGUAAGCAUGACACGCAUGUGGAAUGGAGCUAUCAUACUUAAGCUAGUACAUAUGUAAUGUACGAUUAAUUUAUUUUCUUAGGUCGACGACUCAAUCAUGUAAGAUGAAUUAUUGAAUUUCAUUUCUCAACAGAAAUAAUUAUUGAAAUAGAGAAACUUCAUAUGGAUUUUUGUAAGCUCCAAUUGAUUCGAGAGAUAUCAGAUGUACUUUUAACUCUUCCCGGGUCCCCUAUGUUUGGACUUUUAUUAUUUAAAUUUGUUUGGCAAAUAACUAUGAAAUUUGCAAUGAUUAAAAAUUAAUAAUAGUUUCCCUAUCAAAAAAAAAAAAAUUAAUAAUAGUUUGGUCUAAACCAUGUGAAAUGAGAUCUAACUUGGGCCAUUCAUUCUUGUUCUCAAGUUUUACUUCACAAUAUUGGGCCCUUGAUAAAGCCCAUAUACUUGAUAUGGUUUGACUCUAUGGACUUACAUAACUAGCGCUCUGGGUCUUCAAUACACCUCAUUUUUCUUUGGGUGUUUUUAGGUGAAAUACGAAACCUAGGGGUUCAUUUAGCAAUUUUCAUCAUAAAGGGAAAAAGACAUGUUUAUAUUUUCCAAGUAUGGAUCAAAGGCUCUAACAGCAACAAAUGGGAAACAAUGUCAAGAAACUGGGGACCUAAUCUAUCUGGCAAAGCCUUUUACUUACCUUAAUGGCCAAAGUCUUUCCAUUCAAAAUCCAAACCAGUAAUGGCAAAAUCAAGACACUACUCAAUGUCGUUCCUUCGAAUUGGCAGUUUGGUUAGAGCUUUGAGAGCAACUUAAACUUCUGAAAGCACACUUUUACUAUGAACUAUGUAAACGAAGAUUUGUUUUCUUUUAAUGAAAUGUUACAGAAUUCCAGUACAACAUAAAUCUAACAUCCAAAAGAGUGUUGUUACCCGGUCAAGGAUGAAGUCUGCAAACAUGUUUUUACUUUUAUCUUCGCAUUACACGGUUACGCUCUCUCUUGCGAAAUCGUUCCAACAUGAUUUGAUCAGUUGCUGCUUGUCUGCUUUUCCCUGAAUCAGCAUUAUUAUUAGUACUACUGCUAGUAGAAGGUUUAGCUGCUUCACCGUCCGCUUGAGGUCCUCCUCUAUCUUUGUAUAGCUCAGGAUGCUCUGCGUUUUCAAAGUUUAUAUCAAUACAAGAACCAACACGCACAUGGACUAACAAAUGGAAAAAAGAGAAAAAAGGAUUCAUAAAGCAAACCUCUCCUAAGCUUCUCAGCAUAAUCUUUCCCGCGUUGGAAGUAAUCCGCACUAUAACUAGACGGGAUACUAAACUCUGACUUUGGCCGACCCAUAAGUCUCCUCUCUUGCAAAAGCUUCUUGGCAGCUUCAGUUUCUUCAAUGUUCUUCAGCUUGUAUCUGAAUAUUAUCCAUCCAAACAAAAAAAACAUUAAUCUCUAAAAUACUCAAAUACACAUUUAUCUUACAUCUAUGAUUGAGAAUGUAUUCAUACUCAAUUGGGAGUUGGACUUCUGCUAUUCCGGUAGUCCACUGCGUCGAGCUCUCUUCCGAGCUACGCUUCUUGACCUGAGAAGGAAGGAAGGCUUUUAGUAACAAACAACAAUCUUAACCCCUGUUAAACAUCGACACUAAACAACUUACUUUAAGAUGAUCAGGUAUCUUAUAUAACUCAUCUUCCACUCGCUUCAAUUCGUUCUCAACCUCCUCUGCAUCAUCAAUAUUUCUUCCCCGUUUCUUCGCCAAUUCUUGUUCAAUGUACUUUACCCUAAAGAAUCAAAACAAUCCUCAACACUUACAAAGACAAAGACAAAGACAGCUCACUCUAGCUUAAUCUAUUUAACUACCAAGCAAACUAGGUUACAAUUUUUGUAAAGAGAGAUUUGCUUACAUGUUGGGAUCUUCAAUCAAAACAGCAGUCUCUUGAGCAAAAGUAUCUUGCAACACAAGCUCCUCUUUCUCUCCUUCAGUUUCAGUUUUCUCCACUGGUUUCACUUUUCCGAUGCUAGAUUGCGCCGUAGAAGAUAAAGCUGGGAUACCUAAUUUCCUCUCUCGCAGCUUCUGCAAAAACUUCACCUCCUCUAACGCCAAUCUGUAGAUCAAACAAAAAUCGAACCUUUUCAACAACCCAUCAAAUAAAUUGAAGAAAAUCAAAACCCUACAGAUUUGCUUUUCAAUUUAGAGCUGACCUUCGCUUCUCUUCUUCCUCUGAAAUUGCGGCUUUGUUUACAUCAUUAUCUUCUUCUUCCUCCUCGAAGCUACGCUUCCUGAAAUUUCUCUUCGGCGGCAUCGCAGCCAGAAACUAUCGGAUUUUUGAAAGAGCUAAUGCGACUUGAGACGACGACGACGAUAGGCUUUUAGGUUGAUCUGAAAACAGACUCUCCGUCGGCUAAAAUCACAAGCGAAACAUUUAAUAUGGGCCCUAUUAGUAAGCCCAUUAUGUAUUAAAAAAAUAUAUUUAAAUGAGAUAAUUUACUAACAUUUUAUUUAGGGCCAUAUUAGUUAGCCCAUUAUACAUUUUUCCAGGCCCACGUUAGCUUCUUAUUCAACUUAAGAAGUGUAUUAAUCCAUCACUGGUCCAAAAGCUCUAGGACGAACACUUGAUCUCCAAGCAAGCAAUAAAAAUCAUCAACAAGAUAAUCACAGUAACACCUUUUUAUUCAAUACAGUAGUGUUAAAUAAAAUCUUUCUAGGUAACGGUUACAUUAUAUUUUCAUGUUUUUAUUUUUUUUUUAAACUUUUAUGAAUUAUUUUUUAGUGGCAAGCCUUUCCUUAAUCUUAUCAACCAUCUUAGAUCCCACUUGAAAAGUCUUAGUUAACACAUCUUCCGGCAAAGCCGGCUCUGCCGCAAAUAGGGUUGCCGCAACAGAAGCCGUUCCCGGCAACUGACUAUUAAAUGCCGACAAAACCGACGCGGGAGAUUUCCCAUUGUUCUUUUGAAAAUGCACAAGCCCUCUUGGAAAAACGAAAACUUCACCAAUCUUUAUGGUUUUAGUGAAAAGCUUAUUCGCUGUUGUGAUAAAUCCAACCUCAAGCUCUCCUUCUAGAACGUAGACGACUUCGGUGGCGCGUGGGUGAGUGUGCGGUGGGUUUAAACCUCCCGGCGCGUAGUCUAUACGUGCUAAGGAGACGGAGAGAGUGUUGAGGCCUGGGAUCUUUUCCACGUUGGCUCCUGUUACGGCCGAACCCAUCGUAGAGUUUAUGACGGCGGGUUUUGAGAUUCCGGCGAAGAAGAAGUCGGACUCCGUGAUGUUUAAUGUUUCCUUGCACGGAAAUCCAUUCAGUUUGGUUCCUGCGUUUCGCACAUCGUGCCGUUUAGGUUUUAUAUCAAGUCAACAUAGAUUUAAUAAUGGUGUAAUAUUCCCACAAAAUAUCUAUAUAUUAAAAUAUCUCUAAUUUCAACAUAUUAAUUUUAUUUUUGAUUUGAAAUUUAGAUAAGAUGUUCAUAGAGUUUGAGAUGAUCCUCCUGAUACAUAGAUAUUAUUAUAACAUCACGAUAGAUUAAAUUUUCGAACAAAGGUAAUUUCUACCGUGAGAUUUAUCGGCAACGCAGAGAUCUUGAAGAGCGUCGGGAUCGUAUGCACGAAUUGAAGUGAUCAUAAUGCAAGAUAACGCAAUGAUAAUAGAAAUUCUUGAAUUCAUCAUGGCUCCAAAUUAAAUAUAUCCGUGAAAAGAUGAAUUUUAUUUAACUAUGAGAGAAGAAGCUCGAAGUUUUUGGUACUUAUAGAAUCAGAGACCAGUUUGAUCGACAAGUCAUUUGCUUGGCGAAAUAAAAAACCAAACAUUUUAUUUGUCUUGACCAAACUAAGAAAUGUACGUCAUAGCUAAUUAGUAGGUAAAACUAUGCCUUUCUGACAUUGUUUUUCACUAAAGCCAAGCCUUAUUGAGACAAAAGGAUAUGUAUUUGUAAAAUAAUACGUAUAUAAGUGUGCGCCUGUGUCUGUGCGUGUAGAAUUUUUCUUUUUUUAUAUAUAAAUAUGAAUUGUGUCUCGAGUUUCGGACGUAAUAUUUCUUGUGUGUGUAUUUACCUAGCUCAGAAAACAAAAGAAAAGAGAUUAUUACUCACAAGUCACAACUUUAAAACAGAAAACAUUUUGAAUUUUCCACAAAAAAAUGAAUAUAUCAACUGUGGAAAAGCGAUGUGUAAACACAAAACGCAAAUCAAUAAUUGAUGUGUAAGAAAGUGAUUAAUAAUUCUCGAAGUCAAGUUUCCUCAUUUCUUCUUUUGAUCUUUUCUCAUACAUCCGGCCCUAUAUUUGGCAGAGCCACAUCCUAACUUCUAAGUAACAUGCAGUGUGCAGAGGUAAGUUAAUGUUACUUUUUGUACAUUAACAUUAUCAUAGUGUAUGACCCACUGGUCCUGAAUUUGAGAUGCUGAAGAUAAAGCUAGUUGGGAUGCAUGUAACCAAGUGUAAACGUUUGAGACGCUUAAGAAUCAGGGAAAUCUUGUUCCUACGUUCAAUGCUCUUAUAAGCAUGUCUCAAUAUAUUUUACAAAAUAUCAGAUAAAUGAAAAAAUUGUUACAUGCAAGAAUUUAUACAAAAAGUUUUAACUUAUUGAUUAUUAUUAAUAUACAAAACCACCCGGAAAAAAAAGUAUAUGACACAAAUGGUUCACACAAACUGUCCUAAUUUGGAACUCUUUUCUCUCUUAAUUAGUCAACGAUCAUUUCACAUAAACUUUUAUCGAGCUACUUACUUAUCAUAGUCUUCUCAUCGCAUGGGAAGAAAAAUCCAAGAAACUUGGGAAAUAAGGAACCAAACCGUGAAGAGACUGAGGAGAAGAAGCUGGUGAUGAUGUUGUAAGAAAUAGAGAUUGACUAGAUGAAUGUGGGAAUGAAAUAUUAGUAAACGGUGGUAAUGGCCAAUUUAACGCCGGAAUUAGCGGCGAUGGCAUCAUGUGAUUCGCCGGAUUUAGGCCGUGAGCCGAAGCCAUUGCCGUCAGCAUGUGGUUGUGCAUUCCAAAUCCUAAUGUCGCCGGAAGAAAAUAAGGAUUCACCCCCACUGUUGACAUCAUCUGCAAUUAUAACAUCAACUUUGAUUACAACUUAGUUUCUGAAUAUAAAUAGCACAUAUACAUAUUCGAAUGAUCAAAAUGGGUACAUAGUUCUAUAAAAUAUAAAACAUUUAGUUGGCACUAAAUAAUCACAUGAAAAGAGAUGAAUUCGAAAUAUUAAAGAAAUUCUAUAGACUUCACCAUCUAGGUUAUCUACUGCCUACUAUAUAUCAUUCCAUUUUUUUCGUCACUAAACACCAAAAAGUGGCUAUAUUUGUUUGAUCAAUUUGAAACCCAUAUUGUAAAACAAUAAUCCAUAUCUCAUAAGUUGGCGAGUCAGAUCGAAUACCAAGAACAGUUUAUGUCAACUAGUUAAAUUAACCAAAAAAAAACUCAGACUAUUAGAUAAACACUUAAAACCUCAAGCCUCAAUAAUUCAAAUAUAUGGAAGAAGAACACUGAAUAAAGUGUGAAAUAAAAAUAGUGAAUAAAGUUAAAUAUAGACCUGAAGUUGAAGUUGAAGGUUUUUCAUAUACUCUAUGGUCUUGUCGAGAACCGAAACCUUGUCCGUCUGAAAACCGUAAAAAAGCACCACCCGUUAUCAGAAUUGGAAACUUAAGGCAAGAUUUCUUCAUAUAUGCAACGGAAGUAGCGGAAACUUAUACGGAAAAGACUAGACACUCAAUAGUUAAAUUGAAACAUUAUAUAGAAGGAUCUAUAUACACACCAACCUUGUGACAAUUAGGUACGAGUUGCUGUAGCUUACGCAUCUUAUUACUCAUCUUCUCGUCUCUUCUUCUUCUCUUGGAACCUUUUCGAGUAACUGAAGGAACUUCUCUUGUAAACUCCUCCGAUUCAUCCUAAAUUAAUUAAUUUUAUUUAUAGAAAGAAAAAAUUAAAAACAGUGAAAAAUGAUAAUACAUAAGGUAACAUGAAAAUAUAUCUAUGUAUCGACUUACAUCACUACUUAAGACCUGGAUACGACGUUUUUUGGGGUUCUCAUGUUUGUUUCUCAGAUAAAAUCGAUGAUCUGAUCUCUCUGAAAAAUCUUUAAUAUGAUGAUGAUCAUCAGUUUCAGAAUGUUCAUCAGGGACAACAACCAAUAAAUCCUCCUUCGCAUUUUCUACUUCUUUAUGAAUCUCUGGAACAAUCUGAAGAUAAUUAUCAGUUUGAUCAUGAUCAAAGUAGCCGUAGCCCCAUUUUAGACCGUUGAUUAGACGAUCUUCAUCACUUCUUGCUCUUUCUGACAUCAUGCCCUGAUCUUUCACAGCAAGUGAUCCGACGUCGUUUCUCCAUCCCAAUUCCAUGAAAGCUUGAUUAUUCGACCUGCCAAGAAAAAAGUAGUAAACUAUUAGGGUUUACGAUACAAAUCAUUGAUAAAUUAUUAAAGAAAUAAAUAAAGAGAAUAACAAGGCAAGAAACCUAAACUCUGAAACCUCCUGUUUAAUUAUACUUACAUGUUAGUUAAAGAGAUAUCGGAGAUGAAAAGUUUGGAGAAGUGUUUUUUCUUUAGGGAUUUCAGCUUUGUCCGAGAAAAUGGUAUCCCAUACGCUUAUGUUAUAAGAGCGAUCGGAUCAGAUAGAUGGUAUAGUUGUCAGCUACAUUGGUGACCCACUUAUAUUGUGCCACGUUUCAAAGUAUGUGUGGUUCGUUUGUUGCGUACACCGACAACAAUAAAACAAUUCGGCUAGAUUCUAACAUACAGCUACACGAGGUUAUUAUAGACAUAUUGAUGUCAUUUGAGUUCUUUGGAAACAAUACUUUUUUGGAUUCACAACAAACAUUGUAAUGAAAAUAUUGUUUUACUAAAAUAAUUAAUACAGUAAUUAAAUUAGUUUUUAUUUUGGAAAAGUAUUGUCAAAUAAUUCCAUUAUCACAAAUUCACAAUGUACUUAAAUGGAUUAUUAUUCUGCUUAUUGUUUUUAUGAUUCUAUACGUAAUUGUCCCAAAACUACGUCAUAGUAGCAUAUAUCGACUUUAGAGUAAUCUUGAAAUUUUGCACAGAAAGAUAAAAGUAAUCUUGAUUAAUCAAUAACGUCACUAGAUUCACUACCACUUUGACACAUGAACAUAGAGAUAAAUUUAUCUUUGUACGUAUAGAAUGUAUUCAUUUAUAUAUUGAGAUUUGAGAGACAGUUUAAUAGUAUUUCUUAACCAAGAACUGUAAUGCACAACGGGUAGGGCCAUUUUUAUCCGUUUAAUUAUUUUUCCCGUAAUCUUAUCGUUUAUCAUUGAAUACUCGUCAUUAAGCUUUAUCUUUAUAUAUAUAUAAAACAAUGUAAAAUAUCGGAUGUCUAUUUGUUUAUUUUUGGUCAGAUCAUCUCUAAAUAUAAAAACAAAAAGAUGACGUCUCCGUUUGGAAAAAAAAAGGUUGACUACCACAAGUUUCAUAAUAUAAUCGACAAAAAAAUAUCGUCUGUAACAACGAUAAGAUUAUUCGAUCUCCCAAUUGGUAAAUUCGUUAUUAUGAAAGGCUUACAAAAUUCAGUAACCAGCAAUCAUAAUAAUUUCAGAGUUAUGAUACUAGAGUUCACUUUUUUGUGCAAUAAUAUAAUGGUCGAUUAUUUCCAGCCUGAGAAUGCAUUUCAUUUCAUGACCAUUUAUGGAUUCCUGAAAAAAGAAUUCAUUUAGGGUUUUAUCCAAAAUCCCACGUGGGUUGUGGGCUCUAAACCAAUCCUAUAACGAAUCAGUUUUUUUUGUUUUCUGUAACCCCACGACACAUUUAUUGGAAUUUUAGAGUCACGUCAUCAUCAACCAUACACCGAGCAGGUGCGAUGGUCCACAUUAUUACUAUCUUUGAUAAAAAAGGUCCACACUAUUUUCCUUAAUUAAAAAAAACUCCAAUAAUUACAACAUAUUCUGAAUAAACAAAAAUGACCUGGUUACUAAAUAUCAACAAUCAAAAAAAAAAAAAAACAGUAUCAAAUUCUAAUUUCGAAUUAGUAGAACAAAAAUACUAAUUAUUAUUAUUCAAUUGACUAAUGAAUGUUAACUUUGUAGCGUUGAAUCAAAUGGGCCUGAAAAAAAUCGAAAAAGAGAGAGAGAGAGGAAGAAGAAAAGGCGUGUUCACGUGAUGCCCUCGUGAUGGACAUGGUGCUAUGUCUGACACUUGGGUACUUUAUAUUUUGUUGGUGUCUUAGCGAGCGACGAAGCAAAACCACAGCCACUACAUAGGUUUCCAAUCUCCUUCACGACAACGACCUCUCGGAAUAUACGUUCCAAUCUACAACUUCCCACUGUUCAAUCUAUUUGAUAUUAUGGAAAAACUUUGCAUUAUUGAUUCUUAUUUUAAUAUUUUUCUCUUGUUCCCACCGUUUUGGUUGGAAUCAUAUACUAUACGAAGUACUAUUUGUGUAUCUAGUGGUUGAUUGACGAUUUUUAUUUUUGUUGUACAUUAAAUGCAGCAUCUAUGAUCUAUCUAUCUUCUUCUUUUUUUGCCAAAUAGAACGUUAUCUUUACUGGGCUUUUAGGUUAGCCCAUGUAAUGUUAUUAACCCAAAUAUGAAUUUAUUAAGGGCCCAUCAAUGAGGAGUGAAACAUGUUAGACAAAACUGAGAACAGGCCUCUACUUCUUCUUUUCGUAGCGAUCGCCAUGGAAAUAUCAAAUGUCUCUUCUCCGUCCGGCGGUGUCGCAGCCAUUUCUCUCAUAAUUCUUCUCCGUCCUCGGUUACUUGCUUAUGAUUCUACUAAUCUCUGUUGUUUCCGGUUGAUCAAUCGUCGAUCUUCUAAACUCGAAGGCGGAGGAGGUAUUACCGUGACGGCGGAUUGACUGAUCCUCAGCGGAGUAUGUAUCUUGACACGCGAGGAAAAAUGUUUUUUUUUUUCCCUUUUCCUAUUGUGGUUUCGAUCGAAUUCGCUUAAUUCGAUUUUGUUACAUGAAGCGUUAAAUUGAGCCAAUGUAUAUGAUUUCGAAAGCAAAAAUUAGUUAUCUACAGAACAAAUUGUCUUGUAUCUGAUAGUUUAGUGGUUUGAAAUUCACUAAAAGAGUUUUAGUAGAAUGCUCUGUCUUGGUUUAGUGGAUUUAAGCCUUGUCGUUGUUUGCAAGUUUACUAGAAGAGUUUUGGUAGAAGCUCUGUUUUUGGUUUAGUGGAUUUACAUUUGUCGUUGUGUGCGUAAUUCAGGUAGAUAUUGUUUCCCAUUCCCAGGUUUGUGUUGUGGAAUGGGAAACUGAGGCCGCUUCUGUCAAAGCCAAAGGGCCCAAACAGUUGGUUCUUUCAGGAAAGGAAUCACAAUGUUGCCAGAGGCAAUCUCUGCAAGGUAUUGUAUUAUAUGCUAAUGAAUCUGUUUUCUUUCACCCUUUUCAAUGAGAACAGUGCAAAAAUCAUUAUCUUUUUUUUUAUUUGGGCAGGUUGAGUUGCAACUUGCAAAGUUAAGGAAGCUCUCAAGUAUUACUAAGAUGGAUAGCAGAGGAUACAACUCGACUUAUGAAACUCUGAGGGGAUAUUCUCUGUACAGAGCAAAAGUGUAGCGAUGACUGCUCCAUCUCAUGUUGCUAACAGUCUUUUUCCCCCAAUUUUCUGUUAAGUUUUUGGAUUUGUGAAACCAGUUGUGUGCAAAUUCAAGUAGAUACGUUUGGGAUCUUAUGUUUUGUCGCCAAAAUUCCCAUAUACAAGCUUGUCGAUUGAAUAUGCAUACUUAAACUAUCUUAAUUCUUAAAUCAUGUUGGAUUUGUAGACUUUCCCAAUGAUGAGUGACUUGAUGAUAAAGUUGCUGAAGCUGUGGUCUUUCAUCAUCUGGUCAUGAUUGAUGGAUAUUCUUUGGUGGCAAAUAUGUUGCUGCUGGUGUCGCAUUGGGUCGGUGUGUGGAAGGGGCUUACCCAAGCCAAUGAUUUCAUUUAUAGGUCCGCUUACAAGUAAGAAAAUUAUUAAACGAAAACCAAUUAGAUACUAAGAUUGCAGAUUAGACUUUGACAAGACAUAAGUAUGUGAAGGUUCCCAUUAAUAUCCUCAUAAGUGAUUUUACAACUUGUGGCCAAAAGAGCAAAAAUUACACAAAGCGGGAGAAAGAUAGUUUAAGUCUAGAACAAAUCGAUCAUAACUCUUGAAUCUUGCGGAUCUUCGUGAAGAGGUGAGAUCUUGAAACUGUCGGGUCUUGGAGAUUUCUGUUGAUGCGUGUAAUGGAAAGAUGGAGAAGAAGAAGAUGGUGUAAGAAUUAUGGAGGAAGAAGAAGGGAAUUCAGAGAUUGUAGGGUGAAGGAUUUGUGUGAGUAGAAGAACAAUUGACGCCAUUGAUGAUCAACUUCGAAAAAGCUUUGUAUAUUUAGGGUUUUGGUGUAGAUUUUGUUUUCUCAUGUGAUUCUUAUCUGCCUUUUAUAUAUAGAGAGAGAAAAAGUGGGCCUGUGGUAUUGUGGAUCGAUGUUGUGUGUUUUAGAAUCCAGUGGGACUCUUAAAUCUUUGGGUAGCAGGCAGCAAGUGGUUUUUGUCUGACUUUUGUGUCGCAUUUAUAUCUCGCCCCCAAAACCAGCUGUUCCAC